rnacentral:pre_miRNA from 1 species
AAAAAGAUAAACCCUGAGUUUCCGUGUUUAACGUUUGACCGUCCAUCUUAUUUGAAAAAAUUAUGAAAAAAAUUAAAAAUAUAAGUCACACAUAAAGUAUUAAUCAUGUUUUAUCAUAUAACAACAAUGAAAAUACUAAUUAUAAAAAAAUUCAUAUAAGAUGGACAGUCAAACGUUGGACACGGAAACUCAGGGUUUGCCUUUUU